ensembl:ncRNA lncRNA:CR45664 long non-coding RNA:CR45664
GAACAUUUUGAUAUUGGUAUCUUUAAAGCGAGUGCUGCUGAUUGCGUGAGAAGAUUCGUAAGGUAACUGAUGAUGUUUGGGAACAGACAUCCCAACUUAUAUAGAACCUCGAGCCAACGCUCCAAACCCAACCGCUGACCUUCAGUACGCCCCUGCAUGACCCGACUUUGAUCAGUUGGAGAUUCGAAAACCAAAAUCGAGUCAAAGCAAGCUCAUUAUGAUUUCUCGUUGCUGCAGCUGCCGAAAGCCAAAAGCUCAGAUCGUUGGAGCCCGAAGUAUCUGAAGUAUCUGUUGCCUUAUCAAAAGCCCCUCAAGGUGGACAACUUCGGCUGCCGAAGUCUCUGGCUGUUUGAGCCCUUAGCCUGCGCUGUUUAGUCGCUAUAUAAGCCUCAUCUGCACGUUCCACCAGCAUCAGUCAUCUCUCUGAGUUUAUCCCAAAAACAACCAACCAACCAACCAAACCUAAUUCAAGAUGUUCAAAUUUGUAAGUCC